GUCCCCGUUGAGCCUUUUGUGUUUGUUCAAUAAGUGCUAAGCACCUAAUCCCCUUUGUGUUUGUUCUUCUUGUGUUAACCCUUGUCAUUUAACCCUUAAACCUUAGCCAAAAUGAAAAAGAAUAUAUC